rnacentral:rRNA from 1 species
AACGAACGCUGGCGGCAUGCCUAACACAUGCAAGUCGAACGAGACCUUCGGGUCUAGUGGCGCACGGGUGCGUAACGCGUGGGAACCUGCCCUUAGGCUCGGAAUAACUCCCCGAAAGGGGUGCUAAUACCGGAUAAUGUCUUCGGACCAAAGAUUUAUCGCCUUUGGAUGGGCCCGCGUUGGAUUAGCUAGUUGGUAGGGUAAAAGCCUACCAAGGCGACGAUCCAUAGCUGGUCUGAGAGGAUGAUCAGCCACACUGGGACUGAGACACGGCCCAGACUCCUACGGGAGGCAGCAGUGGGGAAUAUUGGACAAUGGGCGAAAGCCUGAUCCAGCAAUGCCGCGUGAGUGAUGAAGGCCUUAGGGUUGUAAAGCUCUUUUACCCGGGAUGAUAAUGACAGUACCGGGAGAAUAAGCUCCGGCUAACUCCGUG